GAUGAACGCUAGCGGCAGGCUUAAUACAUGCAAGUCGAGGGGCAGCGCAGUGUAGCAAUACAUGGGCGGCGACCGGCAAACGGGUGCGGAACACGUACGCAAUCUACCCAAAACUGGUGAAUAGCCCUCCGAAAGGAGGAUUAAUACACCGUAACCUGAUGAAGUGGCAUCACUUUAUUAGUAUAGCUCCGGCGGUUUUGGAUGAGCGUGCGGCUGAUUAGGUAGUUGGGUGG
rnacentral:rRNA from 1 species